rnacentral:rRNA from 1 species
GUGGGGAAUAUUGGACAAUGGGCGAAAGCCUGAUCCAGCCAUGCCGCGUGUGUGAAGAAGGUCUUCGGAUUGUAAAGCACUUUAAGUUGGGAGGAAGGGUAGUAACCUAAUACGUUGCUACUUUGACGUUACCGACAGAAUAAGCACCGGCUAACUUCGUGCCAGCAGCCGCGGUAAUACGAAGGGUGCAAGCGUUAAUCGGAAUUACUGGGCGUAAAGCGCGCGUAGGUGGUUCAGUAAGUUGGAAGUGAAAUCCCCGGGCUCAACCUGGGAACUGCUUUCAAAACUGCUGAGCUAGAGUACGGUAGAGGGUAGUGGAAUUUCCUGUGUAGCGGUGAAAUGCGUAGAUAUAGGAAGGAACACCAGUGGCGAAGGCGACUACCUGGACUGAUACUGACACUGAGGUGCGAAAGCGUGGGGAGCAAACAGGAUUAGAUACCCUAGUAGUCC